CUCCUUUGACGUUAGCGGCGGACGGGUGAGUAACACGUGGGUAACCUACCUAUAAGACUGGGAUAACUUCGGGAAACCGGAGCUAAUACCGGAUAAUAUUUCGAACCGCAUGGUUCGAUAGUGAAAGGUGGUUUUGCUAUCACUUAUAGAUGGACCCGCGCCGUAUUAGCUAGUUGGUAAGGUAACGGCUUACCAAGGCGACUAUACGUAGCCGACCUGAGAGGGUGAUCGGCCACACUGGAACUGAGACACGGUCCAGACUCCUACGGGAGGCAGCAGUC
rnacentral:rRNA from 1 species